rnacentral:rRNA from 1 species
UACGGAGGGUGCAAGCGUUGUCCGGAUUUAUUGGGUUUAAAGGGUGCGUAGGCGGCGUAGUAAGUCCGUGGUGAAAGCCAACAGCUCAACUGUUGAACUGCCAUGGAUACUGCUAGGCUUGAGUACAGACGAGGUAGGCGGAAUGGAUAGUGUAGCGGUGAAAUGCAUAGAUACUAUCCAGAACACCGAUUGCGAAGGCAGCUUACUAGACUGUAACUGACGCUGAGGCACGAAAGCGUGGGAGCGAACAGG